UACAGAGGGUGCUAGCGUUAAUCGGAAUUACUGGGCGUAAAGGGCGCGUAGGUGGUUGAAUAAGUUGUUUGUGAAAUCCCUGGGCUUAACCUAGGAAUUGCAGGCAAGACUGUUUAACUCGAGUAUGGUAGAGGGAAGUGGAAUUUCCGGUGUAGCGGUGAAAUGCGUAGAUAUCGGAAGGAACACCAGUGGCGAAGGCGGCUUCCUGGACUAAUACUGACACUGAGGCGCGAGAGCGUGGGGAGCGAACAGG
rnacentral:rRNA from 2 species